rnacentral:lncRNA from 1 species
UCUCAGGUGAGCCUCAGAGGGAUGACUUUGAGUUCUGCCUGUCCUUUGUCUACAAGGAAUUUCCUGGUGGACACAUUGUGAGGGAGCUCUGGCUCUACAGGUGUCCAUCAUAGGAUGCAAUCCUCCAAGCCCGUCCUCACUGGCCUCCUGGCCCCCGUCUCGUCACCCUCCAAGUUGCUGCUAUGGACACAGAUCAACCUCUGGGUGCAGCGCACCUGGCAGUGAGGUGUCAAGCGAGCCUUCAACCUCUCCCCACAUCAAUUUUCUCACCUUGACAUUGGGGAUCAGAGUGCCUAUUGUGUAUCCACUCAUCCAUUCAUUUCAAGCAUGUUCAUGGAGCACCCAUCACAUGUCUUCCAAGCAACGACAGAGGAGAUGUGAGGACCGACUGUAACAACCUAAGAAAGCACUGAGCAAAUGAGAGAUGCUCCACAUAUGUGGCUCUUUCACUUUCUCUUCUUUCCCAAAACACCAGUUUAUAAAUCAGCAUCACAGCUCCAAAGCCUCUGUGUGUCUUUUCCCCUGCCAAGGAUAAAGUCCAUAUUUCUUUGUUGACCUUUAACAUUUAAGAUAUCUAAGACAAAUCUAUCUAUCUAUUUAUUUAUGAAAAUUUAAGCUGUACACACCCUUUGACCACCUGGGGCCACUUCUUGGAAGUCCCCUACUUCCCAUUCCACCCCAGUAUAC